CCCAGAGACAGGAACAGCAGGGGCCUGGGCUUGGCUAUGCAGAUGCAUUUGGCUCUCAGUGCCAGUGCUGCCAACUUGGCCACCUGUUAUAAUGUGGGGCUGUCAUCUACAUGACCAUUUGCCAGUGCUGUUUCCAGAGAAAUUCUGUUCCUGAAGUGGCAUGACUGUCAGGGCCAAGAAGGGGCCUGGGCACAGCAGGACCACCUGCAGCAGCCAAGAGACCUGCACAGCCCCAACACAACGAGCGAUGAGGAAGGAGAGCCGAGGAGGAUCAGAUGGGAAAGACGUGUCCAGGGCCCUGCAGCUGGAAUUUGAAGUGGAUUCCAGACGUCUGUAAGUGUCAUCAUUGCGAUGACAACCUCAGAGAGAGCUCCCCCAGACCUCUUUCCGUGAAAAUCACCUGUUCCUGUUCACAGAGGGAGAAGUAAAUCUGGCUUGCUUUAAAAAAAAAAAAAA